GUCACUGGAUGUCACAGGGUGCCAUGGGGUGCCAUGGGGUGUCAUUGGAUGUCACAGGGUGCCGUGGGGUGCCAUGGCCAUGGGGUGAUGUGUGGUGCCAUAGGGUCCCAUAGGGUGACAUGGCCUGGGGUGCCCCAUCCGUGGGUGCCCUGUCAAUGGGUGUUGUGCCCAUGGGUGCCCUGCCCAUGCAGCGCUGUGCCCAUGGGUGCAGUGCCCUGUCCGGGAGCUCUGUGUCUUUAAGCAGCACUGUCCCUAAAGCCGCUGUAUUGGCCGGUCCAUAAUCCCCGUGUCCCUAAGCUGCCGUGCCUAUAAGGGCUGGGGCUGCACGCGCAGGACUGGGCUGUAUCCGUGUGUCUCCGUGUCCCUGUGUGUCCCUGUGUGUCUGUGCUGUGUCCCUGUGUGUCUGUGAGUAUCCGUGAGUGUCCCUGUGCGUCCCUGCCGUGUCCAUACACAGCCCCACACAGUGACAGCCAUGUGGCCCAUGGUGCUGCUGCUGCUGCCGGUGGCGCUGGCCACGCUGGCCCUGGCCCGGGUGGCCCAUCGGCUGCUGGCCCCGUCCGGCAACCCCUUCUCAGGGCCACCCCUGGAGCCACCGCGGCCCCUGGUGACCGACCAGCGUGCCCGGGACAGGGUCCUGAAGCAGGGGUUCAGUGCCCGGCGUGUCCCCGCCCCGCUGGACGCCGUGGUCAUCGGCAGUGGCGUGGGGGGCCUGGCGGUGGCCGCCACCCUGGCCAAGGCGGGCAGGCGGGUGCUGGUGCUGGAGCAGCACGACCAGGCCGGGGGGUGCUGCCACACCUUCCAGCAGCACGGCGUGGAGUUCGACGUGGGCAUCCACUACGUGGGGCAGCUGCACGAGGGGAGCCUCCUGCGGGUGGCCCUGGACCAGGUGACAGACGGGCAGCUCUGCUGGCACCGCCUGCCCGACCCCUACGACGAGGUGACCCUGGGGGCGCGGCGCUACCUGCUGCGCUCGGGCAAGGUGGCCUUUGUCACCGCGCUGGAGGAGCAGUUCCCCGAGGAGAAGGAGGCCAUCAGGGAGUUCAUGAGGCUCUCCAAGGUGGCCUCGCGGCACGCGGCGCUGCUGGCCCUGCUGAAGCUGUCCCCUCGCUGGCUUGUCACCGUCCUGCUGCGCUCGGGGCUCCUGCCCCGCCUGUCGCCCGUGUUCCGCAUGGCCGCCACCAGCCACAGCCAGGCCGCCGCCCGCCUCACCUCCAACCCCGACCUGCGCGCCCUCUUCGGAUACCUCUUCUACGGCACGGCCCCGCGGGACUCGAGCUUCCUGGUGAACGCGCUGAUGGUUCACCACUACCAGCGCGGGGCCUGGUACCCGCGGGGGGGGGCCAGCGAGGUCGCCUUCCACGCCGUGCCCGUCAUCGAGCGGGCGGGGGGCGCCGUGCUCGUGCGCGCCCCCGUCACGCGCGUGCUCGUCAGCGCCGACGGCACCGCCCUGGGGGUGGCGGUGCGGGCGGGACCCGGCGAGGAGGAGCUGGAGAUCCGCGCCCCCCUGGUCAUCUCGGACGCCGGGAUCUUCAACACCUUCGGGAAGCUGCUGCCCCCGCACGUCCGCAGCCAGCCCGGUAAUGUGGCGCUCCUGUGGCCGUGGUGCUCGUGUCCUCGGUGUCACCAGCAUCCCUGGUGUCCCCAGCAUGCCCAGACCCUCAUUGUUCCUGGCAUCCCCGUGUCCCUGCCCGAGCAGGGUCAGGUGCCACCAUCGUGUCCCUGCCUGGACAGGCUCAGGUGUCAUCCCUGUGUCCCUGCCUGGGCUCAGGUGCCACCCCCUGUCCCUGUCCAGCCUCAGGUGCCAUCCCCAUGUCCCUACCCCGCUCAGGUGCCACCGCCGUGUCCCUGCCCCGCUCAGGUGUCCCCCCGGUGUCCCCGCAGGUGUGCGAUCCCUCCUGGCCAUGCUGCGCCCGGGCAUGGGCUCCUUCCUGGUGUUCGUGGGGCUGCGGGGCAGCGCAGCCGAGCUGCGCCUGCCCCCCACCAACUUCUGGAUCUACCCCCACAACGACCUGGAUGCCAUGAUGACCCGGUACGCUGCUCUGAGCCGCGACGAGGUCCCCGAGAACCUGGCCAUGAUGUUCAUCACCUUCCCCGCCGCCAAGGACCCCACGUACGAGCAGCGGCACCCAGGCAGGUCCUGCAUGACCAUCCUGACCAUGGCACGCUACGAGUGGUUCGAGGAGUGGGCCGGGAGCCGCCCCCGCCACCGCGGCCCCGAAUACCAGCGCUACAAGAUGGACAUCGCCCAGCGGCUGCUGGACAGGGCCCUGCUCCGCUUCCCGCACCUGCGGGACAAGGUGGAGUUCGUGGAGGCGGCGACGCCGCUGAGCAACCAGCACUACCUGGGGGCGGCGCGGGGGGAGAUGUACGGCACGGAGCAUGACCUGCGCCGCUUCAGCCCCGCCGUGAUGGCGGCCCUGAGGCCCGACACGGCCGUCAGGAACCUCUACCUGACAGGGCAGGACGUGUUCUCCUGUGGGCUGGCGGGGGCCGUGCACGGGGGGCUGCUCUGUGCCUCGGCCGUGCUGGGCCGCCUGCUCUACCUGGACCUGCUGCUCCUCAAGAG